AUUUAUGUAACUGUUUAGUACUUUUAGACUAUCGAUUUUACGUGGGUAUAGGUAUGUUAUGGCGGAAAAACAAAAACGCCAAUUCUUUUAACGAUUCAUAAAAAAAAUAUAUCACUGUGGCAGUUAUCGGAAUAUCCGUGGUUGGAAAAUAUUUAGUUUUGUUCCAAGAACGUAAUGGUAACACGAGACGAAAUCAACCGCAG